rnacentral:rRNA from 1 species
CCUACGGGUGGCUGCAGUGGGGAAUAUUGGGCAAUGGAGGCAACUCUUACCCAGCAAUGCCGCGUGAAUGAAGAAGGUCUUCUGAUUGUAAAGCUCUUUAAUUGGGGACGAAAAAAAUGAUGGUUCCCAAGGAAUAAGCCCCGGCUAACUACGGGCCAGCAGCCACGGUAAUACGUAGGGGGCAAGCGUUGUUCGGGAUGACGGGGCGUAAAGGGUGUGUAGGCGGUGGAGCAAGUUUGAAGUGAAAUACCUAGAGCUUAACUCAGGUGCUGCUUCUAAAACUGCUAUACUUGAGUGCAGGAGAGGAAAGUGGAAUUCCUAGUGUAGCGGUGGAAUGCGUAGAUAUUAGGAGGAACAUCAGUGGCGAAGGCGACUUUCUGGACUGUAACUGACGCUGAGGCACGAAAGUGUGGGGAGCAAACAGGAUUAGAUACCCCUGUAGUC